rnacentral:misc_RNA from 1 species
GAAAUGCGAUAACUAGUGUGAAUUGCAGAAUUCCGUGAAUCAUCGAGUCUUUGAACGCACAUUGCGCCCCCUGGUAUUCCGGGGGGCAUGCCUGUCCGAGCGUCAUUGCUGCCCAUCAAGCACGGCUUGUGUGUUGGGUCGUCGUCCCCUCUCCGGGGGGGACGGGCCCCAAAGGCAGCGGCGGCACCGCGUCCGAUCCUCGAGCGUAUGGGGCUUUAUCACCCGCUCUGUAGGCCCGGCCGGCGCUUGCCGAACGCAAAUCAAUCUUUUUCCAGGUUGACCUCGGAUCAGGUAGGGAUACCCGCUGAACUUAAGC